rnacentral:rRNA from 1 species
AUGACUUGUGGAUAGCGGUGAAAUUCCAAUCGAGCCCGGAGAUAGCUGGUUCUCCCCGAAAUAGCUUUAGGGCUAGCCUCAAGCGUAGAGAAACGGAGGUAGAGCACUGAAUGUCCUAGGGGGUAUUGCACUUACCGAAGACUAUCAAACUCCGAAUGCCGUUUUCUUUUACUUGGGAGUCAGACUGUGGGUGAUAAGAUUCAUAGUCAAAAGGGCAACAGCCCAGAUCGUCAGCUAAGGUCCCUAAAUGUACGUUAAGUGGUAAAGGAUGUGGGAUUGCACAGACAACCAGGAUGUUGGCUUAGAAGCAGCCACUCAUUUAAAGAGUGCGUAAUAGCUCACUGGUCGAGUGAUCCUGCGCCGAAAAUUUCCGGGGCUAAAACGUACUACCGAAGCUACGGCAUCAUUUAUGAUGGGUAGGGGAGCUUCGUAUGCAGGCUGAAGCAUGACCGUAAGGACAUGUGGACAGUAUACGAGUGAGAAUGUUGGCAUGAGUAGCGAGACGUGGGUGAGAAUCCCACGGGCCGUAAACCCAAGGUUUCCAGGGGAAGGUUCGUCCGCCCUGGGUUAGUCGGGACCUAAGCCGAGGCCGAAAGGCGUAGGUGAUGGACAACAGGUUGAUAUUCCUGUACCGCCAAUAAGCGUUUGAGAGAUGGAGUGACACAGUAGGAUAAGCUAACCGUACUGUUGGUUAUGUACGGCUAAGCAUUGAGGCAGUCUAAAUAGGCAAAUCCGUUUAGACAAUGCUAGGAUGUGAUGGGGAAGCCCUUCGGGGCGAAGUAGCUGAUUUCACACUGUCAAGAAAAGCUUCUAUCGAGUUUAAAGGCGCCCGUACCGUAAACCGACACAGGUGGGUGAGGAGAGUAUCCUAAGGCCAGCGAGAGAACUAUUGUUAAGGAACUCGGCAAAAUGACCCCGUAACUUAGGGAGAAGGGGUGCCUGUCUAUGACAGGCCGCAGAGAAUAGGCCCAAGCGACUGUUUACCAAAAACACAGGUUUCUGCUAAGUCGCAAGACGAUGUAUAGGAGCUGACGCCUGCCCGGUGCUGGAAGGUUAAGGGGAUCUGUUAGAGCAAUCGAAGCAGUGAACUUAAGCCCCAGUAAACGGCGGCCGUAACUAUAACGGUCCUAAGGUAGCGAAAUUCCUUGUCGGGUAAGUUCCGACCCGCACGAAAGGCGUAACGAUUUGGGCACUGUCUCAACAAUAGACUCGGUGAAAUUGUAAUCCCGGUGAAGAUGCCGGGUACCUGCGACAGGACGGAAAGACCCCAUGGAGCUUUACUGUAGCUUGACGUUGGGUCUUGGUACUACAUGUACAGGAUAGGUGGGAGACUAUGAAGCAUGGACGCCAGUCUGUGUGGAGUCAUCCUUGGGAUACCACCCUUGUAGUACUGGGAUCCUAACCAUAGGCCUUGAAUCAGGUCUUGGAACACCGUCAGGUGGGCAGUUUGACUGGGGCGGUCGCCUCCUAAAAAGUAACGGAGGCGCUCAAAGGUUUCCUCAGCACGGUCGGAAAUCGUGCGAAGAGUGUAAAGGCAAAAGGAAGCUUGAUUGCAAGACAUACAGGUCGAGCAAGGACGAAAGUCGGACUUAGUGAUCCGGUGGUACCGCAUGGAAGGGCCAUCGCUCAACGGAUAAAAGCUACCCUGGGGAUAACAGGCUUAUCUCCCCCAAGAGUCCACAUCGACGGGGAGGUUUGGCACCUCGAUGUCGGCUCAUCACAUCCUGGGGCUGUAGUAGGUCCCAAGGGUUGGGCUGUUCGCCCAUUAAAGUGGUACGCGAGCUGGGUUCAGAACGUCGUGAGACAGUUCGGUCCCUAUCCGUCGCAGGCGUAGGAAAUUUGAGAAGACCUGUCCUUAGUACGAGAGGACCGGGAUGGACGUACCUCUGGUGUACCAGUUGUUCUGCCAAGGGCAUGGCUGGGUAGCUAUGUACGGAAUGGAUAAGCGCUGAAAGCAUCUAAGCGCGAAGCCAACUUCAAGAUAAGAUUUCCCACCGUAAGGGUAAGACCCCAGGAAGACUACCUGGUUGA